GGAUGUGAGGGUGAUCUGGCUGUGACAUUUGUCACCUCAUUAGGUCACCGGGGCUGAGUCUGCUGAUUUGGCUGCCAGGCAGGUUUUCCCUUCCCCCCUCACCGCUCCACGUGCGUCCUUUCCAAAGUGGGUGCUGCGUCCAAGAGGAUGACCUGGGAUAGAGGAGACCCACGCUUCUGUCAAGAAUAUAGGAGCAGCCAUGCUUCCUUGCUAGAAAUUCUAAGCAAGAUCUCAAGGUCCGUCUGUAGGAGAUUGUAGUUUCGUCAAGCUUCCAAGACUCCAGAUGCAACCGAAUGAGGUGCUGCAUGUGGCCGUCUGCCUUCCUUC
rnacentral:snRNA from 2 species